CAGACAACCCAGCCAUCACCUGAGCAGCCACACAGCGUGUUGAGUGCACCCCGCUUCCAAAGGGAAAAAUUUAGAAGAAUUACUCUUGGAGUGUUUUCCUGCUCUCGACACUUUUCCCACAGCCCGCCUUGGCAAGGAGCAUAGCAGAAUGAGCCGGGCUCUCUUUAGUGAGAAAACACCUUGUAGGGGAGUGAAGCUGGC
rnacentral:lncRNA from 1 species